rnacentral:lncRNA from 1 species
AUGUCAAGUAACUGAGCAUUAUCAUCAGUACCCAACUUGGUAUAAGCAUUCUUAGCAGAUUCAACUCCCCAAGAUUUGGGCUUUUUGUUCAGAACCUGAGACAAAACAAAUGGAACAGCCAAUGCAGCAACUCCACCGGAAAUAACCAAUGGAUUGUCCGUGACAAAAUUGGAUAUCCCUUCAAUCAGACCAUCCGAAUCAAAAGAUGAAGAAGUGGUCAUAGAUUGUUGCAAAGCUUCCUCGUACGUCAGAGAUUUAGCAGGAGCUGUUGCACUGCUUAGAACAGAGGUUAGAAGAGCCAAUCCACCAUUGAAUCU